rnacentral:misc_RNA from 1 species
AAGAGGCUCUUUCGGGAGUACUUCAGUGGCGGACGGGUGAGUAACAUGUAGGUGACCUGCCCGGAAGCAGGGGAUAAGGGCUCGAAAGGGCCGCUAAUACCCAAAAGGGUCGCGAGUCGCAUCGCGAUCAGAGUUACGGCGUUUCGGGAGGGGCCUGCGGCCCAUCAGCUAGUUGGUAGGGUAACGGCCUACCAAGGGGACGACGGGUAGGGGGCCUGAGAGGGUGAUCCCCCACAUUGGCUCUGACACACGGCGCAGACUC